rnacentral:rRNA from 1 species
UACGUAGGGGGCGAGCGUUGUCCGGAUUCAUUGGGCGUAAAGAGCUCGUAGGCGGUUCGGCAAGUCGGGUGUGAAAACUCCAGGCUCAACCUGGAGACGCCACCCGAUACUGCUGUGACUCGAGUCCGGUAGGGGACCACGGAAUUCCUGGUGUAGCGGUGAAAUGCGCAGAUAUCAGGAGGAACACCGAUGGCGAAGGCGGUGGUCUGGGCCGGAACUGACGCUGAGGAGCGAAAGCGUGGGGAGCGAACAGG